AGGAUGCGGAUGUCUCCAGCACCACGAUCUCCACCUUCUUGCUGACGUUGCCCUGGGAGGUGGAGACGGAACACUCCCACUCGCCGUUGGCAGAGACGUGGAUGUUGGAGAGGAUGAGCUCGCUGCGGGCAGAGGGGACGGGCUGGCACGGUGGGUCUGCCCCACAGCGAACCCACAGCAGUGGUCCCCCAAGCUUGGACACGUGGGGACACACCAUGAAGCACAGGAGGGGCCCACACUUGGCAUCCCACCCAUGGCACUUGGUACCCGCAAACCAGCAAGCUAUGCAGCCACGAGUGUCCAUCCCCAUCCCCAUCUCGUCUCCCUUGCUGUCCCUAUCCUAUCUCCAUCCCUGUCCCCAUCCCAUCUCCAUCACUGUCCCCAUCUCAUCUCCAUGCCCACCUCAUCUCCAUCUCCAUCCCAUCUCCAUCACUGUCCUCAUCUCCAUCCCCAUCCCAUCACUGUCCCCAUCUCAUCUCCAUGCCCACCUCAUCUCCAUCUCCAUCACUGUCCUCAUCUCAUCUCCAUCCCCAUCCCAUCACUGUCCUCAUCUCAUCUCCAUCCCCAUCCCAUCACUGUCCCCAUCUCAUCUCCAUGCCCACCUCAUCUCCAUCUCCAUCACUGUCCUCAUCUCAUCUCCAUCCCCAUCCCAUCACUGUCCUCAUCUCAUCUCCAUCCCCAUCCCAUCACUGUCCCCAUCUCAUCUCCAUGCCCACCUCAUCUCCAUCUCCAUCACUGUACUCAUCUCAUCUCCAUCCCCAUCCCAUCUCUAUCACUGUUUCUAUCUCUAUCAGUGUCCUCAUCUCAUCUCCUUCCCCAUCUUCAGCUCCAUCACUGUCCUCAUCUCAUCUCCAUCACCAUCUCCAGCUCUAUCACUGCCCCCAUCUCCAUCUCCACCCCCAUCUCCGUCACCAUUCCCAUCCCCGUCCCCAUCCUAUCCCCAUCCCUGACCUGGUGAUGAAGGUGCAGUCGUGGAUGAGGCUCUCCUCCACGAUGACGCCCGUCCGCUCGUCCUCCUCCACCAGCUCGCGGUUGUGAUACCAUCGGAUCUGGGUGCUGUUGUCCAAGUAAGUGGCGGUGCACUGGAAGGGCAGCCGGUCGCCCUGGAAAACCACC
rnacentral:lncRNA from 1 species